UACGUAGGCAGCGAGCGUUGUUCGGAAUUACUGGGCGUAAAGGGCGCGUAGGCGGCCUGUUAAGUCGAACGUGAAAUCCCUGGGCUCAACCCAGGAACUGCGUCCGAUACUGGCAGGCUUGAAUUCGGGAGAGGGAUGCGGAAUUCCAGGUGUAGCGGUGAAAUGCGUAGAUAUCUGGAGGAACACCGGUGGCGAAGGCGGCAUCCUGGACCGAUAUUGACGCUGAGGCGCGAAAGCCAGGGGAGCAAACGGG
rnacentral:rRNA from 1 species